rnacentral:rRNA from 1 species
GACGAACGCUGGCGGCGUGCCUAAUACAUGCAAGUCGAACGCAUUUUCUUUCACCGUAGCUUGCUACACCGAAAGAAAAUGAGUGGCGAACGGGUGAGUAACACGUGGGUAACCUGCCCAUCAGCGGGGGAUAACACUUGGAAACAGGAGCUAAUACCGCAUAAUUCCAUUUACCGCAGGGCAGAUGGAUGAAAGGCGCUUUUGCGUCACUGAUGGAUGGACCCGCGGUGCAUUUGCUAGUUGGUGGGGUAACGGCCUACCAAGGCUGCGAUGCAUAGCCGACCUGAGAGGGUGGUCGGCCACACUGGGACUGGGACACGGCCCAGACUCCUACGGGGGGCAGCAGUAGGGGAUCUUCGGCAAUGGACGCAAGUCUGACCGAGCCACGCCGCGUGAGUGAAGAAGGUUUUCGGAUCGUAAAACUCUGUUGUUAGAGAAGAACAAGGAUGAGAGUGGAAAGUUCAUCCCUUGACGGUAUCUAACCAGAAAGCCACGGCUAACUACGUG